UGCAAAAUUUGGGGACCAAGGAC
rnacentral:piRNA from 1 species